AACUUUCAGCAACGGAUCUCUUGGCUCUCGCAUCGAUGAAGAACGCAGCGAAAUGCGAUAAGUAAUGUGAAUUGCAGAAUUCAGUGAAUCAUCGAAUCUUUGAACGCACCUUGCGCUCCUUGGUAUUCCGAGGAGCAUGCCUGUUUGAGUAUCA
rnacentral:rRNA from 1 species